rnacentral:rRNA from 1 species
CCUACGGGCGGCAGCAGUGGGGAAUAUUGCACAAUGGGGGAAACCCUGAUGCAGCGACGCCGCGUGAGUGAAGAAGUAUUUCGGUAUGUAAAGCUCUAUCAGCAGGGAAGAGAAGGACGGUACCUGAGUAAGAAGCCCCGGCGAACUACGUGCCAGCAGCCGCGGUAAUACGUCGGGGGCAAGCGUUAUCCGGAUUUACUGGGUGUAAAGGGAGCGUAGACGGCGAAGAAAGUCUGAAGUGAAAGCCCGCGGCUCAACCGCGGAACUGCUUUUGAAACUUUUUUGCUGGAGUACCGGAGAGGUAAGCGGAAUUCCUAGUGUAGCGGUGAAAUGCGUAGAUAUUAGGCGGAACCCCAGUGGCGAAGGCGGCUUACUGGACGGUCACUGACGUUGAGGCUCGACCGCGUGGGGAGCAAACAGGAUUAGAUACCCCUGUAGUC